rnacentral:lncRNA from 1 species
UUUUAUUUUUUAUUGAAAAACUGGCCCUAUGUAUCAAAUGUGACGUUGGUUAUUUAUUACGUGGCAAUUAAAUUUAAAUUGACUAUAUAAAAAAAAUUAAAGGCGACAUCGUAUCAUAGCAAUAAUUUUGAUACAUAAUAAAGAAAAUUUUAUUCAAAUAUCACAAUAGUGAGAAGUAAAAUGGUAAAAAUUAAAUUGUUUGAGAACCAAGCAGUACGGACUUUUUUCCAGGGUCAAGCAACAAAUUUUACAGGGUUUAUUGCUAGAAUAUUAGGAUUUAAGAGAGUAAAUAAUCAAUGUAAAUUUAUUUUUUUGAUUUCGGAGGGAUUUUUGACAAGAUACAUGAUAUGUUUUGACAAUCCUCCAAACGAUGUAUUGAAGAGGAUGGAAUUGCACCAGAUUGUUAUUAUUAAACGAUCAAGACCAAGAUUUGGGAUUAUUCAAGAGCUAACUAACGAUCCUCUUGUAAAUGAAUUCAGGUUCGAAAUUAAAAAUAUCAAAAAUUUGAUUAUAACAAAUAUAAAAUUAGAAAUGGACGAUUUUAUAAACAUGCCUAAUUUUGGAGUUGAGCUUGAAUCAGAGGAUGAAAAUUAAGGUAUGAUAAAAAUUAAGAAAUUAAGCGUGUGAGAAAUUAUUACGAA